CCCCUAAGCGGUGACUAAGUGGAAAAGGAUGUGGAGUUGCAGUGACAACCAGGAGGUUGGCUUGGAAGCAGCCACCCUUGAAAGAGUGCGUAAUAGCUCACUGGUCAAGUGAUUCCGCGCCGACAAUGUAGCGGGGCUCAAGUCAUCCGCCGAAGCUAUGGCAUUCAGACAAUAGUCAAGCCUUCGUGGUUCAGACGUCUGGAUGGGUAGGGGAGCGUCGUGUCGCGAGUGAAGCCUCGGAGUGAUCCAGGGGUGGACGCGACACGAGUGAGAAUGCAGGCAUGAGUAGCGAAUGAGGAGUGAGAAACUCCUCCGCCGAAUGAUCAAGGGUUCCAGGGUCAAGCUAAUCUGCCCUGGGUAAGUCGGGACCUAAGGCGAGGCCGACAGGCGUAGUCGAUGGACAACGGGUUGAUAUUCCCGUACCGGCAAAGUAGCGCCCAUGACGAACCUGGUGAUGCUAACUGCCCGAAUUCGCAGUUACCGAACCCUUCGGGGGGAGGAGCUGCGAGCUAGCGCGGGACCCGAACCAGUAGUAGUCAAGCGAUGGGGUGACGCAGGAAGGUAGCCCAACCGUGGCGAUGGUUGUCCACGGGCAAGAGUGUAGGGAGCCACCUAGGCAAAUCCGGGUGGCAUGUUCCUGAGACUUGACGCGGAGUCCGUAUGGACGAAGUGGGUAAUCCUAUGCUGUCGAGAAAAACCUCUAGCGAGCUAUGCGCCGCCCGUACCCCAAACCGACUCAGGUGAUCAGGUAGAGAAUACCAAGGCGAUCGAGUGAACCAUGGUUAAGGAACUCGGCAAAAUGCCCCCGUAACUUCGGGAGAAGGGGGGCCGGAUCCGUCAAUGCCCUAGCGGCAGGCAGCGGUGAUGGCCGCAGAGACCAGGCCCAAGCGACUGUUUACUAAAAACACAGGUCCGUGCGAAGUUGUAAGACGAUGUAUACGGACUGACUCCUGCCCGGUGCUGGAAGGUUAAGGGGACGGGUCAGCCUUUAGGCGAAGCCCAGAACUUAAGCCCCAGUAAACGGCGGUGGUAACUAUAACCAUCCUAAGGUAGCGAAAUUCCUUGUCGGGUAAGUUCCGACCUGCACGAAUGGAGUAACGACUUGGGCGCUGUCUCAACCGUGGACUCGGCGAAAUUGCACUACGAGUAAAGAUGCUCGUUACGCGCGGCAGGACGGAAAGACCCCGGGACCUUUACUAUAGUUUGGUAUUGGUGUUUGGUUCGGCUUGUGUAGGAUAGGUGGGAGACUUUGAAGCACGGACGCCAGUUCGUGUGGAGUCAACGUUGAAAUACCACUCUGGUCGUACUAGAUGUCUAACCUAGGUCCGUAAUCCGGAUCAGGGACAGUGCCUGAUGGGUAGUUUAACUGGGGCGGUUGCCUCCUAAAAUGUAACGGAGGCGCUCAAAGGUUCCCUCAGCCUGGUUGGCAAUCAGGUGGCGAGUGUAAGUGCACAAGGGAGCUUGACUGUGAGACAGACAUGUCGAGCAGGGACGAAAGUCGGAACUAGUGAUCCGGCCACGGCAUGUGGAAGCGUGGUCGCUCAACGGAUAAAAGGUACCCCGGGGAUAACAGGCUGAUCUUCCCCAAGAGUCCAUAUCGACGGGAUGGUUUGGCACCUCGAUGUCGGCUCGUCGCAUCCUGGGGCUGGAGUAGGUCCCAAGGGUUGGGCUGUUCGCCCAUUAAAGCGGCACGCGAGCUGGGUUUAGAACGUCGUGAGACAGUUCGGUCCCUAUCCGCCGCGCGCGCAGGAAACUUGAGAAAGGCUGUCCCUAGUACGAGAGGACCGGGAUGGACGAACCUCUGGUGUGCCAGUUGUUCUGCCAAGAGCACGGCUGGUUGGCUACGUUCGGAAGUGAUAACCGCUGAAUGCAUCUAAGCGGGAAGCACGUUUCAAGAUGAGGUUUCCCACUACAUAAGUAGGUAAGGUCCCCAGCAGAACACUGGGUUGAUAGGCCGGAGGUGUACAGCAGUAAUGCCCAGCCGACCGGUACUAAUAGACCGAGGGCUUGUCCC
rnacentral:rRNA from 1 species